AUACAAUGUUUGGAUGAGAGAUUUUAAAGUUUCAUGGAAUUGAAGCUAAAUUUGAUGAAUGGAUCUUAAAAAUGAUUACAUGCAAUACAUAUGGAAGAUUUUUUUUUUUUUUUUUUUGGGAGAAUAGAUAUAAGAAAACUAUAAAUGACAACAUUCUAAUAGAUACGGUGUUGGGUUUCUACCUAUGCGUUACAAGUUCAAAACUACUCCUCCCCUAAAUUAUUAUAAUAGUUUCGUAUCUCUUCCCCUCCCCAGAAUAAUAAUAUAUUUUUUAAGUGUCUUUGUAGUCAUAUAUUAUAUAUAGUGUUAAAGCUUAUAGUCCUUUACUAAAUCGUUAUUAGUGUCCUUGUAGUAUAUACGUAACAAUUGAAUUUAAUGUUUCGAAGUUUUGAAAGCCUAUUAUCCAAACAUAGCCUUAAAAACAUUAAUGUUAAAAAAAAUUGAAUCCUGGGUAGAGAUUGAUUGAUUCUACAAGAAGUUUGCAUACUAUGCUUAGUUUUUCGACAUAGAAGAAGCUUGAUAAUGUUACAUAAAAAGGUAAAAUUAUUUGAAAGCUGGACAGGAAUGUAGGUUUAAGGAAUACGGAUAAUAAUUGUGGAAAAAUAUGAUGGGAAAGAUUGACCUUGACUCGACUUCUUAUCAUGAUAUGAAAAAAAUGAAAAAUAACCAAACCAGAGAGGUUCUCCUUGAAGUUGUUGAAAAGUGCAACUGUAUUUUGAAAAUUUGAAAGAAUAAAUUACAAAUAUUAAAUGAUUCAACUCGAGCUUUUUGUGAUAAAAUUUAAUGUUUGUUAUGCAUGUGAUUAAGUUGGGAUGAUAUUGGUAUGACUAGUAGUGAGUUUGACCCUUGACCAUUUCGAUUGUGAAUAAGACCAUGAUUUGACGACGAAUUUUUCAAUGAUUAGGAAAAAAA
rnacentral:lncRNA from 1 species